rnacentral:rRNA from 1 species
UACAUAAGGAGCAAGCGUUGUCCGGAAUCAUUGGGCGUAAAGAGCUCGUAGGCGGUAUCGAAAGUCAGCUGUGAGAUCACCAGGCUCAACCUGGUAGGGUCAGCUGAAACUUCGGUACUUGAGGGUAGAAGAGGAAAGCGGAAUUCCCGGUGUAGCGGUGAAAUGCGCAGAUAUCAGGAGGAACACCAAUGGCGAAGGCAGGUCUCUGGGCAGUUACUGACGCUGAGGAGCGAAAGCAUGGGUAGCGAACAGGA